rnacentral:lncRNA from 1 species
CAGAGUCAUUGAGAAAGAGAGAGAGAGAGAGAGGAUGACCGCCACUACCACCAGCAGCAGCAGAGUCUCCGCUUUCUUCUCUGUACCGAUAAAACUAUCCAACCAACUCCAAGCAACGGUGCACAACAAGCAAGUCAUUUUCAUUCCAAAACUGCAAACUUUCUCCAUUGCCCAAGCAAAAAAAACUCCUUCAGUAAAGCUCAGUCCUUUGCUCCGCUUUGCUUCAACAUCUUCAUCACCUGCUGUUGAAGAAGAAGAGGGUCAAGAAAAAGGAGAUGAGUUUCCCCAUUCAGAUAAUCAUGAGGUUCUUCUCCAAUCUGGAUCAUCCACACUUCUACAAGAACCUCAGACUCCACCCUCUGUGAGGUAUCUCUUUAACUUGAGAUUGAUCACCUUUUACUUCUUGGAACUCUUCUUGGUCUUAAAGAAUUAGUCCACUUUAGAGUUUAGAUUUUGUUACGAAUGUGUCCUAAUACUUUGUUAACUUGUUGAAAAUCAAUCAAAUUGAUCACAAUUUGAUUAUUUGUGGUCGGAUUUUUGGGGAAAUGAAUUCCUAUCCGUGGAAUGCACGUUAUUUGCCAUGUGUGAUUUUCUUUUAUCUUUUAAACCUCAAGAAAUGAGUAAUGAAUUGAACUCAGAUUACGUGAAAAUUAAAGAUGUCUUCCAAUGCAGUUUAAAGGAGGUUAUUAGCCUCUUGAAUAAAAUUUUCAGAAGAGGGAUACGACUAGGAUGGAGGGAAGGGAUGGUAGGAAUCACCAGAAUGGUGAUAGGGCAAUAAUAUUAGUUGAUACUUAGUGAGGUGGGGAAAUUUUCUGUGAAAGGAAUGUAGUUGUUGAAGUUGGAUAGAAUUUUGGAUGCUUAGCUUUGUAUUCUAAUUUAGUUUAAAGUUUCUCUUCGUUCUUUUAUGCUACUGAGGAUUGAGAAUAUGUGCCCACAGGGGCUGUCAGGUAUGUGGGAAAGAGGAAAUUGAAAGGGGCUGUAAUGGUGAAGGAAGAAUUCAAGGGGGGAUAGCAACAGUACCAGGUUUUGGUUGGUGGCCAAUAAAGGCAUACCGGCCUUGCCCAAGUUUUGUGGCUACUGGUGGUAGAUAUAGGCGGACUGGACAAAGCAUGGAUGAUAUUGGAUUUGGGGGAGGCGGGAGAGAAGCUUCAGCUGGGAACGACAGAA